rnacentral:rRNA from 1 species
UGGGGAAUUUUGGACAAUGGGCGAAAGCCUGAUCCAGCAAUGCCGCGUGUGUGAAGAAGGCCUUCGGGUUGUAAAGCACUUUUGUCCGGAAAGAAAUCCUUGGCUCUAAUACAGUCGGGGGAUGACGGUACCGGAAGAAUAAGCACCGGCUAACUACGUGCCAGCAGCCGCGGUAAUACGUAGGGUGCAAGCGUUAAUCGGAAUUACUGGGCGUAAAGCGUGCGCAGGCGGUUUGCUAAGACCGAUGUGAAAUCCCCGGGGCUCAACCUGGGAACUGCAUUGGUGACUGGCAGGCUAGAGUAUGGCAGAGGGGGGUAGAAUUCCACGUGUAGCAGUGAAAUGCGUAGAGAUGUGGAGGAAUACCGAUGGCGAAGGCAGCCCCCUGGGCCAAUACUGACGCUCAUGCACGAAGGCGUGGGGAGCAAACAGGAUUAGAUACCCCUGGUGGUCCACGCCCUAAACGAUGUCAACUAGUUGUUGGGGAUUCAUUUCCUUAGUAACGUAGCUAACGCGUGAAGUUGACCGCCUGGGGAGUACGGUCGCAAGAUUAAAACUCAAAUGAAUUGACGGGGUCAUAGCUG